CAAUGGGGCUUUUUCAUAUUUUGGCUUGUCCAUUAUUAUCUAUUUACUGUGAACUGUAUUAUUACUUGACGCUUGAGGGAUGCUCCACUGCUAUAAGGAUAGGCGGUGGAGAUGUUAACCGAGUCAUAAUCAAGCUUAGGCUUGGUAUCCUAUUAUUAUUUACCAAAAGAAUUCAGAAUUAAUAUUGUAACAUAGACCUAAAAAAUCUAUAAAACAACUUUUAACAACGGAUCUCUUGGUUCUCGCAUCGAUGAAGAACGUAGCAAAGUGCGAUAACUAGUGUGAAUUGCAUAUUCAGUGAAUCAUCGAGUCUUUGAACGCAACUUGCGCUCAUUGGUAUUCCAAUGAGCACGCCUGUUUCAGUAUCAAAACAAACCCUCUAUCCAACAUUUUGGUGAAUAAGAAUAACGGAAAUCCCCUGGACCAUUCCGAACCCCAACCCCCUGGAAUGGACCAAGGGCCGGACCUGGUUGAAUGGCCGAACUUUUUUUUAAUAAUAAGAAAAACUCCUGGGGUAAACUGGGGUGGGGCCCCCCCAAUAAUAACUCUUUUAAAUUUGAACCGAAAUCCAGGCGGAUUAACCGGUGAACUUAAGCAUAACCAUAAACGGAAGAAAAAAAUGGCCCAAAUCCAUUAAUUUGGGCUGGGCAUAAUAACAAUUCCGGGGACUGUUUAUUCCUGAAGCUUGAGGGAGCUCCAUGCAAAAGAAAGCAAUGACAGCUUACAGACCCAACACAGUUUAGCUUGGAAUCCUAUAAUAUAUUCCAAAAAAUUUCAAUUAUAAUGGAAAAAAACUUAAAAAUAUUAUAACUUUUAAAACGAAUCUUUGGUUCCCAUGAUGAAGAACUAAGGGAGGGAAUAUCGAUGUGAGUUGCUAAUUUGUAAUCCAGCUUGAACAAUGCCUCUUGGUAUUCAUGACGCGUCUCUACACAACACAACACAUCUCCUCAUUGUACAAGAGAAGUGUGACUCUGUGCGACCUUCUCGCACAAGAAUGCGAGUGCUUCUCUUACUAUAGAUGAGAUACAUGAUCAAUGUUCGCGCCCCAGAUCACUAUGCUUAUCUUUAGCGUAUAGCAUACACAGCUACACUCAGGAGAGUAAAUGAUUU
rnacentral:rRNA from 1 species